rnacentral:rRNA from 1 species
UAGGGAAUCUUCGGCAAUGGACGAAAGUCUGACCGAGCAACGCCGCGUGAGUGAAGAAGGUUUUCGGAUCGUAAAACUCUGUUGUUAGAGAAGAACAAGGACGUUAGUAACUGAACGUCCCCUGACGGUAUCUAACCAGAAAGCCACGGCUAACUACGUUCCAGCAGCCGCGGUAAUACGUAGGUGGCAAGCGUUGUCCGGAUUUAUUGGGCGUAAAGCGAGCGCAGGCGGUUUCUUAAGUCUGAUGUGAAAGGCCCCGGCUCAACCGGGGAGGGUCAUUGGAAACUGGGAGACUUGAGUGCAGAAGAGGAGAGUGGAAAUCCAUGUGUAGCGGUGAAAUGCGUAGAUAUAUGGAGGAAGACCAGUGGCGAAGGCGGCUCUCUAGUCUGUAACUGACGAUGAGGCUCGAAAGCGAGGGGAGCAAACAGG